rnacentral:tRNA from 1 species
UUCAUUUUAUUGAAAACAGGCUUUGCGGUAGAACGGCGGACUGUUAAUCCGUAUGUCACUGGUUCGAGUCCAGUCAGAGGAGCCA